CUAGGUACAGUCAGGUUAUGGAGUAGAUGUGGGAAUGUUAAUGUCUAGGUACAGUCAGGUUAUGGAGUAAAUGUGGGAAUGUUAAUGUCUAGGUACAGUCGGGUUAUGGAGUAGAUGUGGGAAUGUUAAUGUCUAGGUACAGUCAGGUUAUGGAUAGAUGUGGGAAUGUUAAUGUCUAGGUACAGUCAGGUUAUGGAGUAGAUGUGGGAAUGUUAAUGCCUAGGUACAGUCAGGUUAUGGAGUAGAUGUGGGAAUGUUAAUGCCUAGGUACAGUCAGGUUAUGGAGUAGAUGUGGGAAUGUUAAUGUCUAGGUACAGUCAGGUUAUGGAGUAGAUGUGGGAAUGUUAAUGCCUAGGUACAGUCAGGUUAUGAAUGUGUAUGGGAAUGUUAA